AGCUGACGUAAAGCGCCGGGCCACACGGGUGACAGCCGUGAGGGUGACGAGGAGAGGAAUCAUCGAAAGAUUCGGCGGGUGUUUCUCCGGCUGAGGGCUAUACCAGCCGCAGAACAGGGCAAAAACCGGCAGCAAUACCGAAACAGAACCCUGCAAAGAAAGCC
rfam:Faecalibacterium prausnitzii SL3/3 draft genome.